GGAUAGGAAUCCUUGCUGCAUGGUGGGGGUUGGAAAGCUUCGGCGGUUUUGGAUGGACUCGCGGCUUAUCAGCUUGUUGGUGGGGUAGUGGCUUACCAAGGCUUUGACGGGUAGCCGGCCUGAGAGGGCGACCGGCCACAUUGGGACUGAGAUACGGCCCAGACUCCUACGGGAGGCAGCAGUGGGGAAUAUUGCACAAUGGGCGGAAGCCUGAUGCAGCAACGCCGCGUGCGGGAUGACGGCCUUCGGGUUGUAAACCGCUUUCAGCAGGGGCGAAGCUUUUGUGACGGUACCUGCAGAAGAAGCACCGGCUAACUACGUGCCAGCAGCCGCGGUGAUACGUAGGGUGCGAGCGUUGUCCGGAUUUAUUGGGCGUAAAGAGCUCGUAGGUGGUUGAUUGCGUCGGAAGUGAAAACUUGGGGCUUAACCCUGAGCGUGCUUUCGAUACGGGUUGACUUGAGGAAGGUAGGGGAGAAUGGAAUUCCUGGUGGAGCGGUGGAAUGCGCAGAUAUCAGGAGGAACACCAGUGGCGAAGGCGGUUCUCUGGACCUUUCCUGACGCUGAGGAGCGAAAGCGUGGGGAGCGAACAGGAUUAGAUACCCUGGUAGUCCAUGCUGUAAACGUUGGGCACUAGGUGUGGGGGCCGCCCUUGGUUUCUGCGCCGUAGCUAACGCUUUAAGUGCCCCGCCUGGGGAGUACGGCCGCAAGGCUAAAACUCAAAGGAAUUGACGGGGGCCCGCACAAGCGGCGGAGCAUGCGGAUUAAUUCGAUGCAACGCGAAGAACCUUACCUGGGUUUGACAUGGACUGGGAGUGCUCAGAGAUGGGUACGCCUCCUUGUGGGGCUGGUUCACAGGUGGUGCAUGGCUGUCGUCAGCUCGUGUCGUGAGAUGUUGGGU
rnacentral:rRNA from 1 species